UCUUCCCUUUCUCUCUCUCUCUCUCACUCACUUUUAUCUCUCUUUCUACGCUGCGGCGAAACGGGACUCGUCGUCUCAACUUUGUUUCCGUCUCCUGCCAGGGUUUAGGGUAGAGAAAAGAGAAAAAAAAAAUGGCGGCUCAUUUAGAUCUCGCAGCGCUCAUCCACGUCUCUCCCUUAUCCUCUCGAUGCUUCUCGAAGCCCUCUCGCUUCUUGAUCGCGUGCCGUUCCUCCUCCUCCGCCGCCGUGAUCGCCGGCGAUGCCCCGCCGCCGCCGCCUCAGGCGGCGGAGCGCACCGUCGUCCGCCUCGGCCUCCCCAGCAAGGGCCGAAUGGCCGAGGAAACCCUAAAUCUCCUCAAGAGUUGUCAAUUGACGGUGAGACAGCUGAAUCCGCGGCAGUACACGGCCGACAUUCCGCAGCUCUCAAACCUGGAAGUUUGGUUUCAGCGGCCCAAAGAUAUAGUUCGCAAAUUGCAGUCAGGCGACUUAGAUCUUGGUAUUGUGGGUUUUGAUACAGUCAGCGAGUAUGGACAGGCAAAUGAAGACUUGGUUAUCGUCCAUGAUGCACUUGAGUAUGGAGCUUGUCGUUUAUCUCUUGCGAUUCCCAAGGAAGGCAUUUUUGAGAACAUAAACUCCCUGGAUGAAUUAGCACAAAUGCCUAAAUGGACAGAGGACAGGCCAUUAAGGGUCGUGACUGCGUUCACACACCUAGGCCCCAAAUUUUUGAAAGAGAAGGGUUUGAAGCAUGUCACUUUCUCAAGCGCUGAUGGAGCCCUUGAAUCUUAUCCUGCGAUGGGCAUAGCAGAUGCCAUCGUUGAUCUUGUGAGUAGUGGAACAACACUUCGUGAAAAUAAUUUGAAAGAAAUUGAAGGCGGGGUUGUCUUACAAAGCCAAGCUGUGCUUGUUGCUAGCAGGACAUCCUUGCACACGCGCAUGGGUGUGUUGGAGAUUACUCAUGAGAUGCUGGAAAGGCUAGAGGCUCACCUGAGGGCAACCGGGGAGAUUUUGGUGACAGCAAACAUGAGGGGAAACAGUGCAGAAGAAGUGGCAGAGCGAGUUCUUAGCCAAACAUCAUUAUCCGGCUUGCAGGGGCCUACUGUGAGUCCAGUUUUCUGCAGACGUAAUGGCAAGGUCACAGUGGACUAUUACGCAAUUAACAUAUGUGUGCCCCAACAAUUGCUUUAUAAGUCUAUUCAGCAACUAAGAUCUAUUGGCGGCAGUGGGGUGUUGGUUUCAAAGCUGACGUAUAUUUUUGACGAAGAAACUCCGAGAUGGCGCAAGCUUCUCACACAACUUGGAUUGUGAGAGAGUCUUUUAAUCACAGGAACUCUUCUUCCACCGCGUAUGUUCUUGUAGGCAAUUAUGGUGAUUGAUCUCGGCUGUCAAAACAGGCUUCAUGAGGUAUUGCCAUUCAAGCAGAUGUUGUUAUGAUCUGUCAAAAUCUCGGAGUGCAUGUUGGUUUGCUCUGGCGGCACCUGUAGAACUGCUUAAAAUUAAUUAAUUCUUAUUAAGGGGUAGUGCUUAUUAGUUCAUUAGCCAAUUUUGGUCCGUAAAUUAUCAACAUGAGUCUAGAUCCGUCUUGUACUUUUCUCUGUAUUCCCUUAUUGUAUCUGGUUAGCAUAUUUCCAUUAUUGUAUCAUGUCAUGAAUUAGCAUAUUUCCCUUACCGUAUCAGGUCAGAAGUUAGUAAUGUGCUGUUGUGUGAAAUGUUUCUUUGUUCUAUUAGUUCUCUUGAAAUAUCUCAUCUAGAUAUCCGUUAGUAUUGGUGUCUGCAGAGACUUCUUUUUCAUUGGAGAGGAGGGUUUUGCUUUUAAUGACUUUAUGGAUUGUUAAGAUUCUCGAAAAGAUAACUGAUUCAUUGUUAUCGGUUUCUCUCA